rnacentral:tRNA from 2 species
GCCUAGCCAGUGGUACACAGGGGUAGUACACUUCGUUUGUGCGGAUGGCCUCCAAGCCCCGCAAUUCAAGGGGUUACGGUUUUAAGCUCAGUGUCGGCGGUUCGAUUCCGUCUCUGGGCACCA